rnacentral:tRNA from 1 species
CGGGAAUAGCUCAGUGGUAGAGCACAAUCUUGCCAAGGUUGGGGUCGCGAGUUCG